GAUGAACGCUGGCGGCGUGCCUAAUACAUGCAAGUCGAGCGAACAGACGAGGAGCUUGCUCCUCUGACGUUAGCGGCGGACGGGUGAGUAACACGUGGAUAACCUACCUAUAAGACUGGGAUAACUUCGGGAAACCGGAGCUAAUACCGGAUAAUAUAUUGAACCGCAUGGUUCAAUAGUGAAAGACGGUUUUGCUGUCACUUAUGGAUGGAUCCGCGCCGCAUUAGCUAGUUGGUAAGGUAACGGCUUACCAAGGCAACGAUGCGUAGCCGACCUGAGAGGGUGAUCGGCCACACUGGAACUGAGACACGGUCCAGACUCCUACGGGAGGCAGCAGUAGGGAAUCUUCCGCAAAAGGCGAAAGCCUGACGGAGCAACGCCGCGUGAGUGAUGAAGGUCUUCGGAUCGUAAAACUCUGUUAUUAGGGAAGAACAAAUGUGUAAGUAACUAUGCACGUCUUGACGGUACCUAAUCAGAAAGCCACGGCUAACUACGUG
rnacentral:rRNA from 1 species